rnacentral:misc_RNA from 1 species
UACGGAGGAUCCAAGCGUUAUCCGGAAUCAUUGGGUUUAAAGGGUCCGUAGGCGGGCAAUUAAGUCAGUGGUGAAAGUUUGCAGCUCAACUGUAAAAUUGCCAUUGAUACUGGUUGUCUUGAAUUACUAUGAAGUGGUUAGAAUAUGUAGUGUAGCGGUGAAAUGCUUAGAUAUUACAUAGAAUACCGAUUGCGAAGGCAGAUCACUAAUAAUGUACUGACGCUGAGGGACGAAAGCGUAGGUAGCGAACAGG